rnacentral:ncRNA from 1 species
AAAAACCACCGGGGGUGCCUUUUACAAGGCUGAGACAAAACCCUUAGAACCUGCACCAGAUAAUGCUGGCGAAGGGAGUGUGAGAGCUACUUGCC